UAGCUCAAAAGUAUACUUCUAAAAAAUUUAUUUUUUGGUAACUACGACCGACUAAUUAUAAAUUAUAAUACAUAAAUGGUGCUCUCCAGGAGGCACCUCCUUUUGGUGCUGAAGUUCUAAGUUUGAUCAUGGAGUAUGACCACUCUAUCUCAAAUAAAUAAAUAAAUCGAUAUAAUAUUAAUUUUUGGGGUCGAAAAUAUGAUUUA
rnacentral:lncRNA from 1 species